rnacentral:tRNA from 1 species
UUUUACGUAACAUAAGAGAAUGUGUUCCGCUUACACCGGGAAAAUAGGAGUAGUCCUCGUAAAAA